GACGAACGCUGGCGGCGUGCCUAAUACAUGCAAGUUGAGCGCUGAAGGUUGGUACUUGUACCGACUGGAUGAGCAGCGAACGGGUGAGUAACGCGUGGGGAAUCUGCCUUUGAGCGGGGGACAACAUUUGGAAACGAAUGCUAAUACCGCAUAAAAACUUUAAACACAAGUUUUAAGUUUGAAAGAUGCAAUUGCAUCACUCAAAGAUGAUCCCGCGUUGUAUUAGCUAGUUGGUGAGGUAAAGGCUCACCAAGGCGAUGAUACAUAGCCGAACUGAGAGGGUGAUCGGCCACAUUGGGACUGAGAAACGGCCCAAACUCCUACGGGAGGCAGCAGUAGGGAAUCGUCGGCAAUGGACGAAAGUCUGACCGAGCAACGCCGCGUGAGUGAAGAAGGUUUUCGGAUCGUAAAACUCUGUUGGUAGAGAAGAACGUUGGUGAGAGUGGAAAGCUCAUCAAGUGACGGUAACUACCCAGAAAGGGACGGCUAACUACGUGCCAGCCGCCGCGGUAA
rnacentral:rRNA from 1 species